CCGGUGUCGACUUACUAGCUGCAAGCCUCUGCCUGCCUUCCUGCGCGCCGUUCCCCGCUAGUCGCUGCUGCUGGCGCGCACUCGCCGGGUUUUUCCUCCCACGGCCUCGAGAUGGUGGUGAAUGUGGCACGGAGGAGCCGGGCCUUCCAACCCGGUGGGCCCGAGCUCCGAAAGGCCCCCUCGGCAGUGAGAGGGGCGGGAGCCCGCGGGGGCCGCGCCCUUCUCUCGCUUCGGACUGCGCAACGCUGCGCUCUGGGCUGACAGGCGGAUAAAACGGUCCCAUCAAGACUGAGAAAAAGCACACCAGCUAUUGGCACAGCGUGGGCAGUGGGGCCUACAGGAUGACUGACUUAGUCUACAGAGAUCCCGGCGUACUUAAGCAGGUAGUAAUGAUGGACAGAUGAAGACUCUUAAGAUGACAGAAGGUGAUUUUUCUGGUGAUCGAGGACUUCCGGGGUAAUGACAGUGAUGAAAUGCAGGGGACCUGGUUGCCCCCAAGUUUCCUGGCAGUGUGUGAUACUGAGGAGGUGAGCUUGUUUCUGGAGCUGUGCUUUAAGAUUCAUGUUACAUGUAAAGCUGUCCUCAUUUGUGACUAUGGACCUAUGGAGUUGGGACAAUCUCUAUGGGAAGCAGAAGGCAAGGACCCCGGUCAUUUUAGGUAGAAACAACAGCAUGCUAAUGCAAAAAAUUAUGCAGUGUGCUACUGAACUUCAGAGGUGAUCAAUAAAAGAAGAAUAAAAAGACUAA
rnacentral:lncRNA from 1 species